CGCGGCUCCCGAGGGUAACGCGGCUGGAAAGGAGCUCCCAACACCAGGCUUCUGCUCUCCUGUGCCUCCCUCCGUACAGAUCUUAGGGUCAGCUAGAGUGACUGUGAUUUGGGCUGUGAAUUGAGUUCAGAUCUGAUCCACAUGUUCUCCAUUCUGCAAUCAACAGGUACCCAGGGAAUGUUGUUCUCACGGCAAAAGUAUAAGACGGUGGAAGACUCCCUGGUGGCACAGUGGUUAAGAAUCCACCUGCCAAUGCAGGGGACAUGGAUUUGAUCCUUGGUCCGGGAAGAUCCCACAUGCCGUGGAGCAAAUAAACCAGUGAGCCACAACUACUGAGCCUGCCCUCUAGGGCCCGCAUGCCGCAACUACUGAGCCCAUGUGCUGCAACUAUUGAAGCCCACCCUCCUAGAGCCCGUGCUCCGCAACAAGAGAUGCCACUGCGAUGAGAAGCCUGCACCCCUCAACGAAGAGUAUCCCCGGCUCGCCGCAACUAGAGAAAGCCUUCACGCAGCAAUGAAGACCCAACACAGCCAAAAAGAAAAAAAGAAAAAGAAAAGAAAAAAGUGUAAGGGGUGGAAUCUCUAAGGCAGCAAGUCAAUCCAUACAGGUACAUUUAAAGCUUUGGUUGGAUAUUAUAUCUGCUCACAUUCCAUUGGCCAAAGCAGAUCACACAGCCAAGCUUAAUAUCAGUGAAGCAGAGAAAUAUAAUCACCUCAAGAACAAGGUGCAGAGUCAAGUGGAAAAGGUUGUGGUUAUAUAUGUAUUGAAAUCUUUGGUUAUCUGCUUAACUGAGUGAUUUCACUUAUAAAGAUUAAUCUUAAUGAAAUAAUUAUGGGUAUGCCCAAAGAUAUACCUACACAGGUAUUCUUGAAGGCAUUUCUCAAUAACAAAAAAUACUAGGAACAAAGAAAUAACACUGGAAACAAUUGAAAUUUAAUAGUAGAGAAUCAGUUGAAUAAAUUGUAAUCUGUCCAAACAGUGGAAUCGUAUGUAGUAACUUAAAAGUUAACAGUAAUAAAUAACAAUUAUUAUG